rnacentral:rRNA from 1 species
GACAGAGGAUGCAAGCGUUAUCCGGAAUGAUUGGGCGUAAAGCGUCUGUAGGUGGCUUUUUAAGUCCGCCGUCAAAUCCCAGGGCUUAACCCUGGCCAGGCGGUGGAGACUACUAAGCUUGAGUACGGUAGGGGCAGAGGGAAUUUCCGGUGGAGCGGUGAAAUGCGUAGAGAUCGGAAAGAACACCAAGGGCGAAAGCACUCUGCUGGGCCGACACUGACACUGAGAGACGAAAGCUAGGGGAGCGAAUGGG